rnacentral:rRNA from 1 species
GUCCACGCGGUAAACGAUGGGCGCUAGGUGUGGGGGUUUUUAAUCCCUCCGUGCCGCAGCUAACGCAUUAAGCGCCCCGCCUGGGGAGUACGGCCGCAAGGUUAAAACUCAAAGGAAUUGACGGGGGCCCGCACAAGCGGUGGAGCAUGUGGUUUAAUUCGACGCAACGCGAAGAACCUUACCUGGGCUUGACAUGUGGGGAAUCUCACGGAAACGUGGGAGUGCGUAGCAAUACGAGCCCCAGCACAGGUGCUGCAUGGCUGUCGU